rnacentral:SRP_RNA from 11 species
CCGGGAGUGGCGGAGGAAGGGAACUCGAGGCGGAGGGAUCGUGAGAAGAGGGUGCUGACGCCAUUCUCGGUGGAAUCGGGCAAGGCCAGGAACGAGCAGAUUACC